AAAGUCGUAACAAGGUAACCGUAGGUGAACCUGCGGUUGGAUCAUUAAAAAAGAUCAGGGACGCUUGCGUCCUGGGCAAAACGCCUCGGCGUUUUCGACCACCCACCUUUUGUGCACCGUAAUUGUCUCUGGCGGCCGGACGCAGGACGGCCUCGAACACCCGCAAGGGUUCGAGAGGAGCGUUCUACCGUCUGUCAGCUCGGGCAACCGAGCCGUGGACAACCCGCCAACCACUUACUACCCACUCAUCACUUGUCUGACAUUGUCAUUUUGUACUUUGAAAACAAAUGUAUGAAAAACAACUUUUGGCAACGGAUCUCUUGGCUCUC
rnacentral:misc_RNA from 1 species